GCCCUUCGGGGUGGACGCUCGUGGAACGAGCGGCGGACGGGUGAGUAACACGUGGGCAACCUGCCUGUAAGACCGGAAUAACCCCGGGAAACCGGGGCUAAUGCCGGGUAACCAUUCGGUUCUCCUGAACCGGAUGUAAAAGGAUGGCUUCUUGCUAUCGCUUACAGAUGGGCCCGCGGCGCAUUAGCUAGUUGGUAAGGUAACGGCUUACCAAGGCGACGAUGCGUAGCCGACCUGAGAGGGUGAUCGGCCACACUGGGACUGAGACACGGCCCAGACUCCUACGGGAGGCAGCAGUAGGGAAUCUUCCGCAAUGGACGAAAGUCUGACGGAGCAACGCCGCGUGAACGAUGAAGGCCUUCGGGUCGUAAAGUUCUGUUGUGAGGGAAGAACAAGGAUCGUGCGAACAGAACGGUCCCUUGACGGUACCUCACGAGGAAGCCCCGGCUAACUACGUGCCAGCAGCCGCGGUAAUACGUAGGGGGCAAGCGUUGUCCGGAAUUAUUGGGCGUAAAGGGCACGCAGGCGGUUCCUUAAGUCUGAUGUGAAAGCCCGUGGCUCAACCACGGAGGGCCAUUGGAAACUGGGGAACUUGAGAACUGAAGAGGAGAGUGGAAUUCCACGUGUAGCGGUGAAAUGCGUAGAUAUGUGGAGGAACACCAGUGGCGAAGGCGACUCUCUGGUCGGUUUCUGACGCUGAGGUGCGAAAGCGUGGGUAGCAAACAGGAUUAGAUACCCUGGUAGUCCACGCCGUAAACGAUGAGUGCUAGGU
rnacentral:rRNA from 1 species